AGUGAACGCUGGCGGUAGGCCUAACACAUGCGAGUCGAACGGCAGCACAGUAAGAGCUUGCUCUUACGGGUGGCGAGUGGCGGACGGGUGAGGAAUACAUCGGAAUCUACUUUUUCGUGGGGGAUAACGUAGGGAAACUUACGCUAAUACCGCAUACGACCUACGGGUGAAAGCAGAGGAUCUUCGGACCUUGCGCGAUUGAAUGAGCCGAUGUCGGAUUAGCUAGUUGGCGGGGUAAAGGCCCACCAAGGCGACGAUCCGUAGCUGGUCUGAGAGGAUGAUCAGCCACACUGGAACUGAGACACGGUCCAGACUCCUACGGGAGGCAGCAGUGGGGAAUAUUGGACAAUGGGCGCAAGCCUGAUCCAGCCAUACCGCGUGGGUGAAGAAGGCCUUCGGGUUGUAAAGCCCUUUUGUUGGGAAAGAAAAGCAGCAGGUUAAUACCCCGCUGUUCUGACGGUACCCAAAGAAUAAGCACCGGCUAACUUCGUG
rnacentral:rRNA from 1 species